rnacentral:lncRNA from 1 species
AAUGGCCAUCAGUCCAGGAAGUGAUGCGGCUUUCUCGGGUCAGAAACCAACGCGUUCAGAGAGUCCUCGAUCAAAGAAAUUUCUGCUAACUGAAGAAGAGAUAUUUUAUAUGAAUUGUAGAGCUGCCUACUUAACUGUUUUCAAAAGCAGUUUAGAUAACAUUAUUUCUAAAGAUCAACUUUACUUAGCUCUUCAGCACGCAGGAAGAAAUCCAUCCCAAAAGACCAUUAAUAAGUAUUGGACUCCUCAAACUGCCAAACUGAAUUUUGAUGAUUUUUGUAUAAUUUUAAGAAAGGAAAAGCCAACCUCAAAAGCAGAAUUGCUAAAAUCAUUUAAGCAAUUAGAUGUAAAUGAUAAUGGCUCUAUUUUACACACUGAUCUUUAUAAACUUCUAACAAAGAAAGGUGAGAAGAUGACUCGAGAAGAAGUAAAUGCCAUAAUAAACUUGGCUGAUGUAAAUGCAGAUGGCAAAUUUGACUAUAUCAAGUUUUGUAAAUUAUAUAUGGCAACCAAUGAACAGUGUCUCAAAACGGCUCUAGAAAAAUUGGAGGUUGACAGUAAACUGAGGCGUCAACAGUUUGGAAGCCACAUGGAAGGGUCCCCUGAAAGGGACCCAUCACCAGUACCAAAAGCAUCACCUAGAAUCAUAAGAAAAACUGAUCAGGAAUCAUUCUCAAAUAAAGGUGACACCAGGAAUUCUUCACUGGCAACAGCCAGACAGUUCAAAACAUCUGUUUCCGUAACAGUUACCGUGGGUGCUGAUAGUAAUCAAAACUCAAAGUUAAUUGAGCCACACUCAAUAAAGGAGUGGCAAGGUGUACAAUCAAAAGGUUGCUUUUUCUUAGAAGAAGAUGGUGAAAUCAUUAGUCAUCAAUACAAGAUGCAAAUAGCUCAGAGAUCCCUGGUUUAUAUAACAAUUAAGCCAUUAAACCUGAGUCAAGCUGAAGGAAAACCAUCCCCUUGGUUGUCAGUUGAUACUGCCUUGUAUAUUCUUAAGGAAAAUGAAAGUCAAGCAAAUCUACAACUCUUGUGUUUUACCGAACUACGAAAUAGAGAAACGUUUGGGUGGACUGGUGAACUAGGACCUGGAAUUUACUGGUUAGUUCCUUCCACAACUGGCUGCAGGCUAAGAAAAGAAAUAAAACCAGUAACAGAAGAAGCCCAACUUGUAUACAGAGAUGAAACAGGGGAAUUAUUUCUUACACAGGAGUUUAGGUCAACUUUAUCAGAUAUAUUUGAAGUAAUUGAUUUAGACGGAAAUGGUCUUCUUAGUCUUGAAGAAUAUAAUUUUUUUGAAUUGAGAACAAGCGGUGAGAAAUGUGAUGAAGAUGCUUGGGCUGUCUGCAGAGAGAAUUUUGAUACCAAGAAAAAUGAACUAACAAGACAGGGCUUUAUGGAUCUGAAUCUGAUGGAAGCCAACGAUCGAGAAGGGGAUCCUCGUGAUCUCUGGGUAACUCUGCACUCAAUGGGCUACAAUAAAGCUCUGGAACUGACGGAGAUUGGUCGCUUGGUUAUUGGACAGAAUGGGAUCCUCUCCACGCCUGCUGUAUCAUGCAUCAUUAGAAAGAUCAAAGCCAUCGGUGGGAUCAUUCUGACAGCCAGCCACAACCCAGGAGGACCCAAUGGAGAUUUUGGAAUCAAGUUCAAUAUUUCCAAUGGAGGUCCUGCCCCGGAAGCAAUAACUGAUAAAAUUUUCCAAAUCAGCAAGACAAUCGAAGAAUAUGCAAUUUGCCCUGACCUGCACGUAGACCUUGGGGUUCUGGGAAAGCAGCAGUUUGACCUGGAAAACAAGUUCAAACCCUUCACAGUGGAAAUUGUGGAUUCAGUGGAAGCUUAUGCUACAAUGCUGAGAAAUAUCUUUGAUUUCAACGCGCUGAAAGAACUGCUUUCUGGUCCAAACCGACUAAAGAUCCGUAUAGACGCCAUGCACGGAGUCGUGGGACCAUAUGUGAAAAAAAUCCUCUGUGAAGAACUCGGCGCCCCUGCGAACUCGGCAGUGAACUGCGUUCCCCUGGAGGACUUCGGAGGCCACCACCCUGACCCCAACCUCACCUACGCAGCUGACCUGGUGGAGACUAUGAAGACAGGGGAGCAUGAUUUUGGGGCUGCCUUUGAUGGAGAUGGGGAUCGGAACAUGAUUCUGGGCAAGCACGGGUUCUUCGUGAACCCUUCAGACUCUGUGGCUGUCAUUGCUGCCAACAUCUUCAGCAUUCCAUACUUCCAGCAAACUGGGGUCCGUGGCUUCGCACGCAGCAUGCCCACCAGUGGUGCCCUGGACCGGGUGGCUAAUGCUACAAAGAUCGCUUUGUAUGAGACCCCAACUGGCUGGAAGUUUUUUGGGAAUCUGAUGGAUGCAAGCAAACUAUCCCUUUGUGGGGAAGAGAGCUUCGGGACUGGUUCUGACCACAUCCGUGAGAAAGAUGGUCUCUGGGCUGUCCUUGCUUGGCUCUCCAUUCUAGCCACCCGCAAACAGAGUGUGGAGGACAUUCUUAAAGAUCACUGGCAAAAGUAUGGGCGGAAUUUCUUCACCAGGUAUGAUUAUGAGGAGGUGGAAGCCGAGGGCGCAAACAAAAUGAUGAAGGAGUUGGAGGCCCUGAUUUCUGAUCGCUCCUUCGUGGGGAAAAAAUUGAUAACUUUGAGUACAGCGAUCCGGUGGAUGGAAGCAUUUCAAGAAAUCAGGGCUUGCGGCUCCUUUUUGCAGACGGUUCUCGCAUCAUCUUUCGACUGAGCGGCACUGGGAGCGCGGGCGCCACCAUCCGACUGUACAUCGACAGCUACGAGAAGGAUCUCGCCAAGAUCUACCAGGACCCCCAGGUCAUGUUGGCCCCCCUAAUUUCCAUUGCCCUGAAGGUGUCCCAGCUCCAGGAAAAGACGGGACGCACUGCACCCACUGUUAUCACC